rnacentral:rRNA from 1 species
ACAAGCGGUGGAGCAUGUGGUUAAUUCGACGCAACGCGAAGAACCUUACCAGGGCUUGACAUCCCCUGACCGCGUAUGAAAGUACGUUUUCACCCUCGGGUGACAGGGAGACAGGUGGUGCAUGGUUGUCGUCAGCUCGUGUCGUGAGAUGUUGGGUUAAGUCCCGCAACGAGCGCAACCCCUAUUGUUAGUUGCCAUCAUUCAGUUGGGCACUCUAGCGAGACUGCCGGUAAUAAACCGGAGGAAGGUGGGGAUGACGUCAAAUCAUCAUGCCCCUUAUGACCUGGGCUACACACGUGCUACAAUGGUUGGUACAACGAGUUGCGAGUCGGUGACGGCGAGCUAAUCUCUUAAAGCUAAUCUCAGUUCGGAUUGUAGGCUGCAACUCGCCUACAUGAAGUCGGAAUCGCUAGUAAUCGCGGAUCAGCACGCCGCGGUGAAUACGUUCCCGGGCCUU